GAGCUAUCCGGAGAGUGGAUGAGACAUAUUCAGCAACAUUCCUGAAAUGUGAGUCAAAGGAACUUGGAGAGCAUGGGAAGUCUGAAGUCUCAGGCAGUGACUCUUUGCCAUCUUGGAAAUCCUGAGGUCCCAGAGGGAACAGCAGAAAAAUAGAGUGAAGAAUAUGAUUAAUUGCAUCUGGCCUCAGAGGGAAGGAGAGAAUAUCUCGGGGAAUCCAGGCACAAGAUAUAGUUCUUUCAGUAAAAUGCAUGAAGAUGGAUGCUGUGGAAACUGCAAUGGCCAAUGUCGAUGGAAAGGAGUCAGACAUACUUCCACAGUGCUGCCCAGAUCCAGAGUCCAUGAGCAGGAGGCACAUUUGGCAAUGCAGUUU